AUACGGAGGAUGCGAGCGUUAUCCGGAUUUAUUGGGUUUAAAGGGUGCGUAGGCGGACGAUUAAGUCAGCUGUGAAAUGCCCGCGCUUAACGCGGGAAGUGCAGUUGAUACUGGUUGUCUGGAGUGCCGUUGCCGUGGGGGGAAUGUGUAGUGUAGCGGUGAAAUGCAUAGAUAUUACACAGAACGCCGAUUGUGAAGAACACCAGUGGCGAAGGCGGCUUACUGGGCCACAACUGACGCUGAGGCACGAAAGCGUGGGGAGCAAACAGGAUUAGAUACCCUGGUAGUCCACGCUGUAAACGAUGAAUACUAAGUGUUGGAAAAAUCCAGUGCUGAAGUUAACGCAUUAAGUAUUCCGCCUGAGGAGUACGUACGCAAGUAUGAAACUCAAAUGAAUUGACGGGG
rnacentral:rRNA from 1 species